CCCUUAGAUGUUCUGGGCCGCACGCGCGCUACACUGAUGCAUUCAACGAGCCUAUCCUUGACCGACAGGUCCGGGUAAUCUUUGAAUCUGCAUCGUGACGGGGAUAGAUUAUUGCAAUUAUUAAUCUUCAACGAGGAAUGCCUAGUAGGCGCAAGUCAUCAGCUUGCGUCGAUUACGUCCCUGCCCUUUGUACACACCGCCCGUCGCUCCUACCGAUUGAGUGUGCUGGUGAAAUGUUCGGAUCGGCCGUUUGUCGCGGUUUCCGCGUCAUGUGGCUGAGAAGUUCAUUAAACCCUCCCACCUAGAGGAAGGAGGAGUCGUAACA
rnacentral:rRNA from 1 species